GAGUUAAGAUAGCCAUGCACGUCUAAGUACAAACUAAAUGAUGGUGAAACUGCAAAUGGCUCAUUACAACGGUUAUGAUGUACCCGGGAGUUCCGAUGGAUAUUUCCAGUAACACUAGAACUAAUACAUGUCCCUGCGUUUAUUAGUUUCGCACAGUCCGUCGCUGAGUCAUGGUAAACAGUUGAUCGACUCGACGUCCCGGAACAGUUUCCGCCCCAUCAGCUUCGAUGGUUGGGUAUUGGCCUACCAUUGCAACAACGGGUAACGAGGAAUUAGGGUUUGAUUUCGGAGAGGGAGCCUGAGAAACGGCUACCACAUCUACGGAUGGCAGCAGGCGCGCAAAUUACCCAAUGCAGACACUGUGAGGUAGUGACGAGAAAUAAUAAAGCGGGACUUCUGUUUCGCUAUUAUAAUGAGGAAUAACCAAAGGUCAUUCCGAUUAGCAACUGAUGGGAAAGUCUGGUGCCAGCAGCCGCGGUAAUACCAGCGUCAGUAGCAUA
rnacentral:rRNA from 1 species